ensembl:lncRNA
GUAAACACACAGGCACACAGGUACACACACAGGCACACAGGUACACACACAGGCACACAGCUAAACACACAGGCACCCAGGUAAACACACAGGCACACAGGUACACACACAGGCACACAGGUAAACACACAGGCAUGCAGGUAAACACACAGGCACACAGGUACACACACAGGCACGCAGGUAAACACACAGGCACGCAGGUAAACACACAGGCACACAGGUACAAAAACAGGCACACAGGUAAACACACAGGCAUGCAGGUACACACACAGGCACACAGGUAAACACACAGGCAUGCAGGUAAACACACAGGCACACAGGUACACACACAGGCACACAGGUAAACACACAGGCACACAGGUACACACACAGGCACGCAGGUAAACACACAGGCACGCAGGUACACACACAAGCACGCAGGUAAACACACAGGCAUGUAGGUACAAUACACAGGCACGCAGGUACAAUACACACAGGCACGCAGGUAAACACACAGGCACACAGGUAAACACACAGGCACGCAGGUAAACACACAGGCACACAGGUACACACACAGGCACACAGGUAAACACACAGGCACACAGGUACACACACAGGCACGCAGGUAAAAACACAGGCAC